rnacentral:rRNA from 1 species
UACAGAGGUCCCAAGCGUUGUUCGGAUUCAUUGGGCGUAAAGGGUGCGUAGGCGGCGCGGUAAGUCGGGUGUGAAAUCUCGGAGCUUAGCUCCGAAACUGCAUUCGAUACUGCCGUGCUUGAGGACUGGAGAGGAGACUGGAAUUUACGGUGUAGCGGUGAAAUGCGUAGAUAUCGUAAGGAAGACCAGUGGCGAAGGCGGGUCUCUGGACAGUUCCUGACGCUGAGGCACGAAGGUCAGGGGAGCAAACGGG